UCACCUGCUCCACGCCCCCUCAUGUUCUCUCUCACUCUUUUCGUUCCAUAUCAGACACUCCUCUUCCAAGUUGAUUGCUCCCUUCGUGCAGCAGAAAUUCUUCCACCGUAACUUCCCUGCAAAUCUUUACCUUCACUCAAUCUUCUAUCUAUCUUGGUUUGCGAACCCAGAGGAGUUCUAGGAAGUUUCCUACCCAUCACCCAAUCUACUACCCACUACCCACAACCCGCAAACAUAACCCGAGGUCGUGAGCAGCAGUAGCCGCGAAGCAGACAUCGGAGACAUGGGUGACCUGACCACGGAUCAUGUAUAAUUAUUUAUUACGAUACACUUAUAUUCGGAGAAACGAUUUUGUGUUAUAUCGGUGGUAG